rnacentral:rRNA from 1 species
AUACGGAGGGUGCAAGCGUUACUCGGAAUCACUGGGCGUAAAGCGCGCGCAGGCGGCCAUUUAAGUUGGAUGUGAAAGCCUACGGCUCAACCGUAGAACUGCAUCCAAAACUGUCAAGCUAGAGUCUGGGAGGGGAAGAUGGAAUUAGUUGUGUAGGGGUAAAAUCCGUAGAGAUAACUAGGAAUACCAAAAGCGAAGGCGAUCUUCUGGAACAGUACUGACGCUGAAGCGCGAAAGCGUGGGGAGCAAACAGGAUUAGAAACCCCGGUAGUCC